rnacentral:misc_RNA from 1 species
CAGCCCGGUAAUUCCAGCUCCAAUAGCGUAUAUUAAAGUUGUUGCAGUUAAAAAGCUCGUAGUUGAACUUCGGGGUUUACCCAUUGGUCAGGCUUAAUUGUCUGUACUGGUGAGAUAAAUCUCUACCUUCUGAGGAACUUUCAUGCCAUUUAGUUGGUGUGAUAGGAAAUCAGGACUGUUACUUUGAAAAAAUUAGAGUGUUUAAAGCAGGCUAACGUCUGAAUACAUUAGCAUGGAAUAAUGAAAUAGGACGGAUUGGUUCUAUUUCGUUGGUUUCUAGGAUCACCGUAAUGAUUAAUAGGGAUAGUUGGGGGCAUUAGUAUUCAAUUGUCAGAGGUGAAAUUCUUGGAUUUAUUGAAGACUAACUAUUGCGAAAGCAUUUGCCAAGGAUGUUUUCAUUAAUCAAGAACGAAAGUUAGGGGAUCGAAGACGAUCAGAUACCGUCGUAGUCUUAACCAUAAACUAUGCCGACUAGGGAUCGGACGAAGUUAAUUUUAUAAUGACGCGUUCGGCACCUUACG